rnacentral:rRNA from 1 species
CCUACGGGUGGCAGCAGUGGGGAAUAUUGGACAAUGGGGGGAACCCUGAUCCAGCCAUGCCGCGUGUGUGAAGAAGGCCCUCGGGUUGUAAAGCACUUUCAGUGAGGAAGAACGCCUGGUGGUUAAUACCCAUCAGGAAAGACAUCACUCACAGAAGAAGCACCGGCUAACUCCGUGCCAGCAGCCGCGGUAAUACGGAGGGUGCGAGCGUUAAUCGGAAUUACUGGGCGUAAAGCGCGCGUAGGUGGCUUGAUAAGCCGGUUGUGAAAGCCCCGGGCUCAACCUGGGAACGGCAUCCGGAACUGUCAAGCUAGAGUGCAGGAGAGGAAGGUAGAAUUCCCGGUGUAGCGGUGAAAUCCGUAGAGAUCGGGAGGAAUACCAGUGGCGAAGGCGGCCUUCUGGACUGACACUGACACUGAGGUGCGAAAGCGUGGGUAGCAAACAGGAUUAGAUACCCUUGUAGUC